rnacentral:lncRNA from 1 species
GAGGUGGUAACGAAACACCUUGCUACUUUAAAUGAAUUCAACUCUCCAGGGCCUAAUGAGCUGCACCCAAGGGUACUGAAGGAGUUUGUGUAUGUAAUCUCAGAACCUCUGUCUAUAAUGUUUGAGAAUUCUUGGAGACUGGAAACUGCAGGCAGUCAAAUGUUGCCCCCAUCAUCAAAAAGUGGAAAAGAAGACCCCAGUAACUACUGAGUGGUGAGCUUGACCAUAAUACCAGGAAAGGUCCUAGAACAGUCUGUGAGCACUUAGAAAAGGAUGCUGUGAUUACUAACACCCAGCAUGGGUUUCUCAGCUUGGUGGAUCAGGGGAAUGCUGUGGACAUAGUAUAUAUUGAUUUCAGUAAGCUGGUAAAAUGUGGAGUGGGUGGGAUAACUGUUAGAUGGAUUUGUAACUGGCUGACUGAGAAAACCCACAGAGUACUCAGUAAUGGUUCUUUGUCAUCUUGGAAAAAAGUGACAAUUGGGGUGCUGCAGGGUUCUGUCCUGGGCCUGUUGAUGUUCAACAUAUUUAUAAAUGACUUGGAUGAAGGAAUUGAGGGGCUGCUAAUCAAAUUUGCAGAUAACACCAAACUGAGAGGGAUCGCUAAUGCCGCAAAAGACAGAAUCAGAAUUCAAAAUAACCUUAACAGAUCAGAAAGCUGGACCCAAGCUAACAAAAUAUAACUGAUUUAUGUAUAUUGGUUUACUGCUUAUACAGUGGUACCUCAGGUUACAUACGCUUCAGGUUACAGAUGCCUCAGGUUACAGACUCCACUAACCCAGAAAUAAUACCUCGGGUUAAGAACUUUGCUUCAGGAUGAGAACAGAAAUUGUGCAGCAGCAGCGCAGCAGCAGCGCAGCGGCAGCGGGAGGCCCCAUUAGCUAAAGUGGUGCUUCAGGUUAAGAACAGUUUCAGGUUAAGAACAGACCUCCGGAACAAAUUAAGUUCUUAACCUGAGGUACCACUGUAGUGUAUAAUUGAUUUAUGUACUUAAUUAUUAACACACCUAUGUUACAUGAGGUAUCUAAUUAAUGAAAUUAAAGCAUUCACAACUAAAUGAAUAAUAUUUAAUUUCAUUUUAGCAGUAAUUCGAAGGCAGAUAAUGUGGUUAUUGCAGGGCUGCAGAUACAGCUCCUUGCCAAGGGCACAAGGGACCCUAGGUACACCUCUGGGUGGGGUGGCUAUGUAUGCAUUCUUUUGUAGCCCACAAGUGUGGUGUCUAUGCACACAUUUGAGCAAACGUGCACAGGACUUGGUUACUGCUGACAUGCAAUACUGGGAGCCAAAAAAGGUUAGCCUCCUCUGCUAUCUGUGGAGUACUUCAGUCUGCACUAGUUCAUGUCUAUAAGUGUGGUUGUCCAUGACAACCAUAGAUAAUGCAGUCCAUUCAGCUUUCUGCAAGUGAGCAUGAGAGUGCCACAAAGGAAAAAUAUACGCAAUUAUACCAUACAGCCUGGGAAGCUGCCACUUAUAUCUGCCUUAAGUCUCAUGAAUGUGUUUUAUUUAGCCAUAUUCAUAAUAUAUGAAUCUCCAAAGGGCUUAGGGUAGCACACAUGGACUUAUGGCCUUUUAUCCCUUUUAUCAUCAUAACAAAUUUCCUGAAGGAGUAAUAUUUUUCUAAGAUCACCUAGUUAGUUUUGAUAGUUGAGCAAAGUUUUCAGUUUAGGACUCCCACAUGAAAACCCACUGCUCAACUUGAGUGCAUUACUUUGCAUUUUCUUCCCCUUUUCUUUUGCUAUUUGUCGAGCUUUAUUUCUUGUGCAGCAACUAGUUCUCAUAGGACUCUUUGAAAGGGAUUCCUUUCAAAUACAUAUUUGAUGUAAUCAUUCUAUUGGAGUUUACAAAUCACACUCUUUGUUUCAUUAUGUUUUGUUUUGCACUACAUUGUACGAUCCAGUUCCUUUGCAAGCUGGCGAUGUGCUAUGUUUUGAUGCCAUACACAUGCCUGUAGAUCAAGGAAUUAUUUACUAAUCAGGGUGUGGUUCAUUCACCACUUAUCCACCUUCUCACAACACUCUUAAGUUAAAAAUGUUGUGCAAGCAUUUCUGUUACUCCCAAAGUUGCAUUCUCCUUGGAGCUAGUGCUGGCAUGUGUGAAGUUUGACCCAGGUUUCCAUAAAGGUACAAGUUUCAUAGGGUCCACCCACUUUAUUAUAGUAUCUAUGGACAUAUCCUAGGCAAGAGUUAUAUGGGGGGAGCCAUUCCAUACUGCAUCAGUGGAAGAGAUAGGAAGCUCAUCAUCAGGUACCUCCUGCUCCUCUACUGUGCCAGCUGGUUGUUAUAGGUGCCUGAGACUAGAUUGUUAUUUUCCUCUUCCCUCCCCUGCCCCCUUUCCCUUGCGUUUUGUGUUUUUCUUUAUAUUGUAAGUCUGCAGGUAGAGACAGUUUUGUUUUUGAUUGUACGUAAGCCACUCUGGGAGCCUUUUUGGCUAAAAAUUGGGGUAAAAAUGCUUUAAAUAAACACAGUUGUACCUUGGAUCUCAAACGCAUUGGAUCCCGAACAAAUUGGCUCCCAAACAAUUGAAACCUGGAAGUGAGUGUUCUGUUUUCAAAUGAUUUACGGAGGCUGAACAUCUGGUGCGGCUUCCGUGGUUUCCGGUUGGCUGCAAGACGCUCCUGCAGCCAAUUGGAAGCCGCGCCUUGGUUUUUGAAUGGUUUUGGGAGUCGAACAGACUCCCGGAAUGCAUUCUGCUUGAGAACCAAGAUACAACUGUAAGAGUAAACAAUCAUUCUGAAGCAGCAUCUUUUAAGUUUUCUAGCCCAUGUUCUUUUAGAACACAGAGGUUAUAGGGUGAAUGAAAAUAAUGAAUGAAAGUAAUAGAUGAACUUGCGUUGUUUUCUGGUGCCCUGAUGGUGGCAUCCCCCUUAUACUAACCACUGGUGCAGAUGGAGCUACCAGCACCAACCCUUGUUCUGUCCUCUCCUGAGGAGCUGUCCACACUCUUAGCCAUUGAAGGGAUCUUCUCUUGGGUCACCAGUGUGAAUUUCUGCACAUCUUGGAAUGCCACCUCCAGGAGCUCUGGGCUGACCCCAAACACCACAUGCUGACAGAGCUCAUCCUUUCCCAAGCAGCUGUCCACAGCUCCUUGAGGCCUUGACUGGUCAGGCACUUGGUCUAUCCUGGCUUUGUGCCUUUUGGAGCAGCUCUGUGGCCACUCAGUCCCUGUGCAGUGCCCUUGGAGCAGCUCCACUAAGUUUCCACUCUUUAUUAUGCUGUGUCCUUUGGCUGAAUUGCAGUGUUGAGGAGGGACAUUUUAUUACAUGCAUAGUGCUAAUACUUGAAAUUCUCAUAAAUUUUCUGAAGUUGUAGCACACAGUGUUUGGAUAAUGUUAACAACAACUACAACAAACAAACAAACAAAAACAAUAUUUAUACUCCACCCAUCCGACUGGGUUUCCUCAGCCACUCUGGGUGGCUUACAGCAUAUCUAAAGACAUAAUAAAAACAUCAAGCAUUAAAAACCUCCUGAUACAGGGCUGCCCAGAUGUCUUCUAAAAGUGGUGUAAUGUUGCCUUCUCCUCCCCAUUUGGGCUGCUGUGCAGAAUAGGGAGGCCAGCCUAGUACAUGCAUAUGGUAUGUCUAUCCCUGUUAAUGACAGUCCCCACUACACUUUGCUACAGCUUGCCUUUUAAAUGGUGCUAAAAGAGUGUCUACUGUGAGCCACAUAAAGGCAUAUUUUACCCUGGCUGCAAACUGUUUGUGACAGUUAUCAUGAGGGGUGAGAUAAAAAACAGAUGAACCUGGCUCUCCCUAAAUGCCUGAUUGGGCUAGAAUAGCCCUCUCAGGGGAAAUGACUCUGCUAUGACUCCUGUGCUCACAUGCUUAGCUUUGGCACUUAGCUGGCAUAUCCAAAUGAAUAAUAAAGCUGUUGAUUUGGGAUGCUCUGAGAAUACAGCAACAAGGGAACGUGGAAAGAAUUGUGUGUGGAAUCCCUCUAGGUGGAGUGGGUGUGCUUACGAGUUGCUGUGCUUUGCUCCGACGCAUCCCUCCUCCCCCUCUCUCUUCACCAGCUCACUAGUUAACUGGAAAAGACAUUUCUAAUUUGAAAAAGGCAGCUUGUAGUAUGUGUGGCGCCACUUUUAAGAGGCUUUUGAGAAUUCUCUUCAUUGCUGAUAUGAGGUUACUGCUUUCUGUUAUUCAAAUAAAUUAAGGACACAUUUUACACAUCAGCAGAUGAAGCAUGAUGUUUAAGAUCUUUUUCUUCUUCUAGACAAAAUUUGCAGGUAUGCCUCGUUGCUGGGAUUCAGUCUAGUCUUGGAGGCCUGAACCCAAUCUAAAUAGGUACAUAUAUGGCAGAAAUGUGGGUCUGUCCCAGCCCUGCACCUCAGCAUGGAGCUACAGUCCAUCUCUGUCAGCAAACACCUGCCACCUUGAUGUUCUGGAUCCCCUUCCUGCUCUUCCUUUUUAUCUGGUCCCAAAAGCUUGUAGUCACCCUCUCAUAUCUCCAGUUCAAAUCUACGACAGCUGGAUUGGUCCCAUUCCACUGCUGAACUUCAGCUUAUCGGUCUCUGGAUUUCCCCUUGGGCGAAUGCAGCAAAUUCAGGUCUUUGCCUUACAAGCCAGUGGCCAUUUCACUUGGGUAAGCUGAUGUAAAUGAGAAGGCUAUUGGGCUUUGCUCCAAGUGACUUUGGCCUGUAAAGCGGCAACAGUAAAGCUGUCGAGAAUAGGCUGGUGGCAAUCUGGAAAUUCCGAUACAGCUGACAACUGCAGCUGAGGAUGACUUGUAAAGCCUUCGAUUUUCUGAGGAGGCUUUGAAGAGAGACAAAUGCUUUGUGGCAGACCAGAGUGCUGUAAUGUCAUGGGAUUUCCAUCCUCAGGCAGUGGCUUUGUGGGGAUUAGACCACUGCUUGGGAACUGCCUGCCUUUCCACUCCCUUCAGCUUGUAUUUUUUCCAUCUCUGGAUUCAAGUUCCCCAGAGAGGCGCCAUUUUGGUGCCUAUGCUGCUAAUCAGGGAUUGAGGUAUGUGCUUGGGGGCGGGGAGAGUGAAGGAAGUCACUGUUAUAUCAAAAGUGCCUUUGCAGCUAGUGCCGGUUGCUUAGGGAGCCAUGGAAACAUCUGCUGUAUAAACCUUAGCUGGAGCCAUGGAAAUCAGUGUUGGAAAAGACUCAUUUGGGUCCAACUCCUUGCUGGUGUGUAUUUGCAUUAAUUAGAAUCUGCUUUCCACUGAAUGUUUUGGAGAAGUAUUGGAGCGAUUAACAGGAAGAGCCCCCAACCAUACUUGUUCCUUCAGGGACACAAAGCUGCAAUGACUGACCUACUUCCAUAAUUUUUCAAGUCAGUUUUGAGGCUCCUAUUUCAGGCUCUUAAGCAUAAGUUCAAAACCAAUGUGGUUCUGAGCAGGACUUGAAGAAAGAAGGGCAGAGUGGGCAUUCAGGAGGGAAAACUAGGAAGGGGGGGACUUGUAGGCUUGUUUCUUAAAACUGAUUUGUAAGAGAUUUUUUUUAAGGGUGCCAGACACCACUGAGAUUUAAUGAUAAAGCAAAUUUAUAAAUAAAGGAUAGGUGAUAAAUAAAGGAUUACCACCAAGUGGUAAAGAGGGGGUUGUAAAAGUAACAGAAAGAAGCAUAAAUUUACCUCCAUUCUGUAUGAAUGUCUGACCCUUUAAAAUGUGCCCAUGGUGCUAUUAAUAUAAUAGACUACAGGGCUGCAAUGUGGUGAGAGAAGGCAGGCAUAUCAGUGGUUCUGGAACAACUGAGUGUGGAGUUCACAGUCUACCUGCAGACAAUCCUCAUUUUUUAAAUAUCCAAGAUGUGCUGGAUUACUGUGUGAAUCCUUGAGAAAUUGCAACUCCUCAUCUAUUGUGAAUAUGCUAAUACCACCAAUUCUGGAAGUAAUCUCACAUCGCUUUCCCUUUCUUAUUUGGAUGGUUAAAUCAUGCAUUGUAAGUCUGAAUGCUAACAUUUUGAUAAAUAAAAAUCAGUCUUAUUGAUAUUCUUCACUUAACAGAUAAUUCUGUUUUCCUGGCCUAAUGUAGAUCUAGAGUAGAGGCUAAGGGUCCUCAAAUCAUGUGAAAAGAAAAGUGUCAGAUUUUUUUAUUUCUUUCUGCUCCAUCGGGGCUCAGUACAGGCCACAUGAUCUCCUGCAAUGAUUUUGCAAAGUUUUUUUUGCAGAUAAAGUCACUCAGAUUUGGGAAGAGAUAGACUCCACCAUGGGAGCAGGGCCGGGGCAGGAGAGUGCUAGAGUCCUGUCUAGUACAGUUGCGUGGGAUCAAUUCCAAUCUGUUACCUCUGAGGAUGUGGACAGGCUGCUUGGACGAGUGAAACCAACCACCUGUCUCCUUGAUCCUUGCCCAUCCUGGCUUAUAAAAGCUAGCAGGGAAGGGCUGGGUGAUGGGUUCCGCGGGGUGGUGAAUGCUUCUCUCUGUGAGGGAGCCUUCCUAGACCCGCUGAAAGAGGCGGUUAUCAAACUGCUUCUUAAAAAACCAUCUUUAGAUGCGGCCAAUAUGGCCAACUAUCGCCCAGUCUCAAAUCUUCCAUUCUUGGGCAAGGUGAUUGAGCGAGUGGUUGCUGAACAACUCCAGGCACGCCUGGAAGAAGUGGACCAUUUGGAUCCCUUCCAGUCGGGAUUCAGACCGACUGCCUUGGUCACACUGGUCGAUGAUCUUUGGCAGGCUAGGGACAAAGGUGAGAGCUGUUUCCUAGUUCUGCUGGAUCUCUCAGCGGCUUUUGAUACCAUCGACCAUAACAUCCUUCUGGACCGUCUAGAGGGGCUGGGAGCUGGGGGCACUGUUAUCUCCCACUGGCUGAAUGAGGUUCAGCAGAAGUUGUCUAUGCUGAACCAACAGCAUCAGUCUAUGGACAACAUAACAACUGGUAGCUGGGCAGGUUGAACAAUGCCUGCACCACACCAGUUCUGUAAAGUUGCAAACUAAUCUUUAAUCCAACACUUGCUCCCCCACUCAUGGCUUCACUGAUUUCACUGCACCUGUGUCCACAUAUACAUUGGGGUAUAAGGAUGUUACAGGACUCUGUUUUUUUCUGUGAUACAUCACAGAUACCGUUUUCAAAUUAGUUGCAAAGGACUGUACUACAUGAAUUCACUUUGUAAAACUCCCCAUGAACUUUACCAAAUAUUCACAGCACACAAGAUAAACACUAUUAAUACUGUAUUUCUGUUGCUUUCUAUUUUACUCCAUCUGAAGAGCUGUAGCACUGAAAAUAUGACAAAUAUUUUCAGAAGUGUUAUAAAUAGGACUGACGUCCGGUGCUUGCUUGAAAAUAAAUGUCUGAGCCUUCAUUGGGAUCCUGCGGCUGUCUUUUAAAAGCCAGUCCAUGUUGUUCCAGGUAAAAGUGCAUCAUGUCUCCCAACAAGAUAUUUCACAGAGAUGUUUUUCUUAUACAAUAGUGAUAAUUCUGUUUCAGAAAUGUCAGCUGUUGCUCGCAUUUUCGUGGCCUCCAUGGCCUCCAUGAAGCUUCCAUAGCCCUCAUCAAUCACCACAAAGUACUGCCAUUUGGGGACUGCUUCCAACUCCCAACACUAGCAAUGGUACCUCCAACAGCCCCAUCACCCUCUUUACCUUCCUUUUAAAGAUGGAAGCCACGGGACAUUUAACCUUUUU